CCUCCCCUGUUCCCCGGGGUUUAGGGCGGAAAACCGACCAUUUUUGGGCUUCUCAGAUGAUCCUCUAUUCGUCCCCAAAUAUGCCACGAUUCCCGGGGGGGGGGGGGGGGACGCCGAUUUUGAAUAGAGUCCUUUAUUGACAAAUCCGACACUCCAAAGAAUGUCCUAAAUCAUUCAUCAUUAAAACUUUCAGCCAUUGGAAAAGUUAUCCUCUUGGAACUUUAUAUUUAUCAGUCCAACACGAUUUUAAGUAAUGCUAUGCAAAAAUGGAGGUAUGCCAUUGGUUGGUUUUAUAACUCGAUCUCUCUAUCUUGCCUUUAUUGAGAUUGAUAAUCAAAUAGUAGUCAAUUGUGAAUGGGAGUGCCUUAUCAAUUAUCCCCCUUUCUUGAGGAGUAACAUAAAAUUGAGCUGUGUAACCGACAAUGCGCAUAACUUUUUUUCAGCUUGGUCUCAUUUUUUCCUAUCGACAAAUCUAAAAUUUCAGCUAUGAGCGUGCAGUCUGGUUUAAGAAAAGAAAGACAUUGGUAGGAUUUUGAAGUUCUGGUAAUAAUUUGGCAAAAUAUUUUAUUUAUAAUAAAAAGAAAAUCAUCAUUAGUACAGCUGUUUACAAAAUGCUUCACCAUUAACAUUAUUAGUUAAAUAUGAAUAGUGUUUAUUAAGACUAACAGCGUUAUUUAACGUAAGGAUUUUGUAGAACUAGUGAUGUGAAGUGAAAGUUAUUAAAAAAAGUAAUCGUGGUAAAAUCAAGGUGCUUUGUCCCUAUGUGUGUUGAAAAAUGAGUGGUCGCUCCUCUGAUCCCCACAUUUCUAGGGAAGUUAAAAACUUUUAGUCUCUCUCUCUCAAUGACUCCUGUUUACUUCUAAUAUUUUUUGCUUCACAGGGUCAAGAGGUGUUCCAUCAAUAGCUUUGAGAGCGAAUAAUCUCUUAGAAGACCAGGGUGGUGAGGAUAUAAUAAGUGAUAAAUCAUCUACAAACUUGAAUCGGGUGAUGGACGGUGAGUCAAAUGGGGAAGCAGUGGGUGAAGUUGGUCAUAUAGUAGAUAAUACACUUGGUGAACAUGUUACAAACCCAGUAGACAAUGAAAACAGUAGAAAGGUGAUCAAUGAGGAUAGCAAUAAAUUAAACGGUGAAGUCGAUAGUGAAAUCAUAUGUCAGAAGAAUUCUGCACUCAUGGAUGAUAUGAAAAUGGAAGUGGAUGAAAGCCUAACAGAAAAAGAUCUGGGCGAGUACAUCUCAGACGAAGAGUCAUCUUCAGAAACUGAAAGUCCUCUGAAAACUGCAGAAACAGCCAAAGUACACUGA
rnacentral:lncRNA from 1 species